CAGUAGCCGCGGGAAUACGUAGGGUGCGAGCGUUAAUCGGAAUUACUGGGCGUAAAGCGUGCGCAGGCGGUUAUGUAAGACAGUUGUGAAAUCCCCGGGCUCAACCUGGGAACUGCAUCUGUGACUGCAUAGCUAGAGUACGGUAGAGGGGGAUGGAAUUCCGCGUGUAGCAGUGAAAUGCGUAGAUAUGCGGAGGAACACCGAUGGCGAAGGCAAUCCCCUGGACCUGUACUGACGCUCAUGCACGAAAGCGUGGGGAGCAAACAGGAUUAGAUACCCCGGUAGUCCCUGUCUCUUAUAU
rnacentral:rRNA from 1 species